GAUGAACGCUGGCGGCGUGCCUAAUACAUGCAAGUCGAGCGAACGGACGAGAAGCUUGCUUCUCUGAUGUUAGCGGCGGACGGGUGAGUAACACGUGGAUAACCUACCUAUAAGACUGGGAUAACUUCGGGAAACCGGAGCUAAUACCGGAUAAUAUUUUGAACCGCAUGGUUCAAAAGUGAAAGACGGUCUUGCUGUCACUUAUAGAUGGAUCCGCGCUGCAUUAGCUAGUUGGUAAGGUAACGGCUUACCAAGGCAACGAUGCAUAGCCGACCUGAGAGGGGGCUCGGCCACACGGGAACUGAGACACGGUCCAACCCCCUACGGGGGGCCGCGGGAGGGAUUUUUCCGCAAGGGGCGAAAGCCUGACGGGGCAACGCCGGGGGGGUGAUGAAGGUCUUCGGAUCGUAAAACCCUUUUUUUGGGAAAAAACAUAUGUUAAAGUAACUGGGACCCUCUUGACGGUACCAAACAAAAAAGCCACGGCUAACUACGG
rnacentral:rRNA from 1 species